GAUGAACGCUGGCGGCGUGCCUAAUACAUGCAAGUCGAGCGAACGGACGAGAAGCUUGCUUUUCUGAUGUUAGCGGCGGACGGGUGAGUAACACGUGGAUAACCUACCUAUAAGACUGGGAUAACUUCGGGAAACCGGAGCUAAUACCGGAUAAUAUUUUGAACCGCAUGGUUCAAAAGUGAAAGACGGUCUUGCUGUCACUUAUAGAUGGAUCCGCGCUGCAUUAGCUAGUUGGUAAGGUAACGGCUUACCAAGGCAACGAUGCAUAGCCGACCUGAGAGGGUGAUCGGCCCCACUGGAACUGAGACCCGGCCCAGACUCCUACGGGAGGCAGCAGUAGGGAAUCUUCCGCAAUGGGCGAAAGCCUGACGGAGCAACGCCGCGUGAGUGAUGAAGGUCUUCGGAUCGUAAAACUCUGUUAUUAGGGAAGAACAUAUGUGUAAGUAACUGUGCACAUCUUGACGGUACCUAAUCAGAAAGCCACGGCUAACUACGUG
rnacentral:rRNA from 1 species